rnacentral:rRNA from 1 species
UACGGGAGGCAGCAGUGGGAAUAUUGGACAAUGGGCGAAAGCCUGAUCCAGCCAUGCCGCGUGUGUGAAGAAGGCCUUUUGGUUGUAAAGCACUUUAAGCGAGGAGGAGGCUACUUGGAUUAAUACUCUAGGAUAGUGGACGUUACUCGCAGAAUAAGCACCGGCUAACUCUGUGCCAGCAGCCGCGGUAAU